AUCUGACAUCCCUAUUAUCUCAACCACAGCCCUCACAGCUGCAGUCGUCUGCACCUGCUAUACUGGUCACGACAGGUGAUACAGAUCUGCCACCCCCAGCAGUUCAGCUGCAGUCACAGCAGUCCUCAGCUGUGGUAUUUAAUUUACCGACUGCACCAGAUCCUACUACACUGGCUGUGAAGGGAGAACAUUUUGAGGAUUCCCAGAUGGAUACAGAUCUGCCAUGCACUCCACCACUGCCCGACAGCCUCACCCAGAAGUGCAUACACUGGGCCUAUCAAGACUGACAAAGCAGAGAUGGGUGGCUGACAAGGAAAAUGAAACAACAUACACACACACUCUCUCUCUCUGUCACACACACUCACACACAUUAUCCCCAAUGUAUACGCAAUGUAUACACUGACUCGGUGAGCGAGUUUAUUAGCAAGUGCAUCA